AAAAUUAGAUGGUAAGGGAGAUACCAUAAUCAUGAAGGUGGUUUUCCCAGAGAGAGGCUUAUCCAUUGCACUCGGGAUAUGCUGACCCCUACAAUUUCCCCAAAUACGGGAAACUUGACUGCACAGUUUGUGGCAGUGGGGAACUGAGUUUGUGCUCGCCCCUG
ensembl:snRNA U1 U1 spliceosomal RNA